rnacentral:lncRNA from 1 species
AUCAGAUAAUGGGACCCCCAUAAAUUGGCCUUAUUUCUUUGAACCCAAAAGAUGGAAGGCUGCAGUCCAUGAAUUGGGAACCCUCUUAAAGGGACCCGCGCACCUAAAAGAUGAGGUUUUUCCAACCCUAAAAUGGGCUUUUUCCAACCCAAAACCAAAGUGACUUUGGCCACCCGGAUAUGAGAACAUCCCCCCCCCCCCCCCCCCCUUAAAUAUGGACUGCCCCAUCAAAUAUGGGACCCCCAAAAUUGGCCUUUUUUACCCCAAAAAUGCAGCCUGCAGCCCCUCCUCUUAAAGGGACAGCGCACCUAAAAGAUGAGGUUUUUCCACCCCUAAAAUGGGCUUUUUCCAACCCAAAAUUGACACCCGGAUAUGAAACAUCCCCACCCCCAGACCAAAUAUGGGAAGCCCCUCCAUCAAAUAUGGGACCCCCCACAGCCCCAAAAUUGGCGCUAAUUUUACCUCCCAAAAAUGCAGGCCUGCGGC